UCAAAGGCUGCCUUUCCAAAAUUUUGGUCGUUGACCACAAGAUGGGCAGCCGUUUGGAUUGCAGCCGAAUCUCUCGAUGGCUGCCAAUUUUUUGACCAGCCGUUGUGAUUUUGUACUAGUAUAUGGGUGAGUUCUUGGCGGCGAUUUCCUUCGCCAAAAAUUUAGCAGGCCAUCGUUUUGGCAGGGCUGGUUUGGGUUCAAUCCAAACAGCCCCUAGGUCUUCUUCCCCCUCUGCCUUCUCACCCAAAAACGAGCCGCCGCCGGUCCCUUCUCCUCCGAUCCACUUCUUUCCAAAGUCGCCCUUGCCACCGAUGCCAGCAUGGAGCAAGGAGAUGCCGGCGGAGCUGGUGCAGGUUGCGUCCGUGCUGUCCGUGCCCCUCAUCUCGGUAGCCCCUUCCCCUUGUCUUCCAAGUGUGCCACCACCCCUCCCUGCUGUGAGUUAGUGACCGGAGAGGAAGAACCAGAUCCAAGCCGACGAGCACUGGGGCGAGGUCCCCGUGAGCAGGAUCCGUCGCCUCCCACCACGCAAGGAGCCAUGGUGUCCGGGUCACCGUUCCUUCUCCCCUUCUCGAAUCAAGGAUCCACGCCGACGAUCCCCUUGAUGCCCAAGCAGGUCUGCCCUACCACCUAGUCCACCACCAUGCCUCCGCCGCUAACAAGGUCCAUAUCCCCUUAUCUUACUGGUUCAUAGAUCCUCUAGAUGCUAUUUUGUGUAUAUUUGAUUUGUCAUUGUUGGUUGUAUUAGAACAUUAGUCUGUAACAUGAGUCAUUGAUGCAACCUUUAAAUAUCUGAAGGUACAUGUUUGUGUGAUUGUCAGAUUCGGUUUGUUCCCUUGCUUGCCAACCAUCUGUAUUACUAUACGCAUGUUGUUGCUCUCAAAAUCUACAGUCAGUUUCAAUCCAAAGGCUCUCUUUCAUCUGCCUUAAUUAUGUUAUUAAUCAAAAACAAAAACUGUAAUGAUGCCGGAAGAAUGGCGGUCCUCCGGCUGCUUGGGCCGGCCAGCUUAGCUGUCAGCGUGCUUGUGAAACUGAAACGCACGGCACCGGCCAGCUUAGCUGUCAGCGUGCGUGUGAAACUGAAACGCACGGCGGCGCCACAGCCGGAGGCCGGGAGCUUGCCCGCCUUAUAAAUGGCCUGCCUUGUAAAUGGCCUGCAUGACCGGAGCAUAAGUUCCUCAAGGAGACCAUCAUUUUUUGAGAAAUUGUGAGUUCUUGUAGCCCUAUGAUUGUUAUCUGGAGUUACCAUGUCUCGAUGCAUGAAUUACUUGGCCAAUGCAUGAGUUACUUAGCAUUGAUCUAACAAAUGUUGUAGUCUGGUGAUGGUGUCCUGUUUCAGUAGCCGCGUAAAGCCUUGUUUCUAGGUUUGCAAGAUCUGGACAUACGACGAUGCUGGCGCCCUGCGUGCUGAUUUCACCUGCAGGCUACAUGGACAACCAAACCGGUCUGCGUGGGGAGCUUACGACCGCCGUCACGCGUCUCUAAUCCAUGGUGGUGUUUUUGUGAUUUAAUGAGAGAAUCGAGUGGAACUAAGGAGAUCCAUUGGAUUAGCAUGGACGGUUGAUAUUAUAGGCUACUGCACCCAUACAAUAAACUGUAGAGGAGACGAACCCGCCCUCAUAGACUCCGUUUGUUCGGCAAUAUACAUUCAUGUGUCAAAAUGAUAUUUUUGGUAGAUAACAUGUUAGAAAUUGGGUGGUUUAUUAUUCUAACUGCACUGAAAUUAUACAUGGUGAUGUAUUGUAACUUCCCUUCUUUCUCUUUGGAAUUACUAAGAUGGAAACGGUUUGAUCCUUUAUUUUAGUUUAUUUUACUAUACUUAUGUUGAUAAUAUCAUGUUUCACUUAAUUUUUCCCUUGCCAUUGGCAGCAUCAAAGAAUUGAGAAGGCUUGAGAAAGAGGAGAGAGCUAGAGAAAAGAUGUUUCACAACGAUAUGAUGGUAGGACCCUUCUCGCAAUCAAUUGCAGUUGGCAAACUAUGGCAGGAGCUUCCGGGUGUUCACUCAGAUGCUUGUUUGAUGUUUUCAUGGUACACCGUAGAGGAACAAGAUACCAUGUGCAAUUAUUAUCUAAGGUAAGAGAAGAAGAUGAUGCAAAGGCGAUAAAACUUGUGUGCCAUUAUAUGGAAAAAAGACACGAGGUGGUGUAAGGGAAACUUUGGGUUGGCCUAAUCAUCAAAUGGAUGAUGUGAGUUACCUCUGUAGUUAGAUAAUGGUGUCUUGGAUGCCAACAGUGUCGUACUUUAUCUGAAAAACAAAAAAUCGAUAAAGAUGAGGUUUCUGUUGAGUUAUUGAAGAUGAUGAUGAGCUUGACGACAAGAGCUCGAAAAUUGUAGAGAGCAGUGAUGACAUGCACAUGGACAACAAGCUAGCUUUGCUUAUCAAGGACAGUUGGCAUAGUUCAGUAGAAUGUGAACAACUUCUAAGUUGCAAUACCUGUAAGAUGUUGUUUUGUACAAAAUGCUUGCCCUAUGUACGAUGUAUAUUUUGACCCCGAGUGUGAUGUAUGUGUUCAUUGAUAAUCUGAUGUGUAAGAGGAAUUUUGGUUGCAAUUUAUAAAUUUGAAUUAUGACUUCGAAUUUAAUUAUUUGAAUUA